rnacentral:rRNA from 1 species
CCUACGGGAGGCAGCAGUGGGGAAUAUUGGACAAUGGGCGAAAGCCUGAUCCAGCAAUGCCGCGUGAGUGAUGAAGGCCUUAGGGUUGUAAGGCUCUUUUACCAGGGAUGAUAAUGACGGUACCUGGAGAAUAAGCUCCGGCUAACUCCGUGCCAGCAGCCGCGGUAAUACGGAGGGAGCUAGCGUUGUUCGGAAUUACUGGGCGUAAAGCGUACGUAGGCGGUUAUUCAAGUCAGAGGUGAAAGCCUGGAGCUCAACUCCAGAACUGCCUUUGAAACUAGGUAGCUAGAAUCACGGAGAGGUUAGUGGAAUUCCGAGUGUAGAGGUGAAAUUCGUAGAUAUUCGGAAGAACACCAGUGGCGAAGGCGACUAACUGGACGUGUAUUGACGCUGAGGUACGAAAGCGUGGGGAGCAAACAGGAUUAGAUACCCUGGUAGUCCACNCCGUAAACGAUGAUAACUAGCUGUUCGGGGUCAACGAUCUUGAGUGGCGCAGCUACGCAUUAAGUUAUUCCGUCCGUGGGUAGGUACGGUCGCGAGAUUAAACUAACAAGAAGUAGACGCGNGAGACGUGCCGACGACGACGACGAGGGAGUAGG